GACGAACGCUGGCGGCGUGCCUAAUACAUGCAAGUUGAGCGCUGAAGGUUGGUACUUGUACCAACUGGAUGAGCAGCGAACGGGUGAGUAACGCGUGGGGAAUCUGCCUUUGAGCGGGGGACAACAUUUGGAAACGAAUGCUAAUACCGCAUAAAAACUUUAAACACAAGUUUUAAGUUUGAAAGAUGCAAUUGCAUCACUCAAAGAUGAUCCCGCGCUGUAUUAGCUAGUUGGUGAGGUAAAGGCUCACCAAGGCGAUGAUACAUAGCCGACCUGAGAGGGUGAUCGGCCACAUUGGGACUGAGACACGGCCCAAACUCCUACGGGAGGCAGCAGUAGGGAAUCUUCGGCAAUGGACGAAAGUCUGACCGAGCAACGCCGCGUGAGUGAAGAAGGUUUUCGGGUCGUAAAACUCUGUUGGUAGAGAAGAACGUUGGUGAGAGUGGAAAGCUCAUCAAGUGACGGUAACUACCCAGAAAGGGACGGCUAACUACGUG
rnacentral:rRNA from 1 species